AUUGAACGCUGGCGGCAGGCCUAACACAUGCAAGUCGAACGAGUGGCGGACGGGUGAGUAAUGUCUGGGAAACUGCCUGAUGGAGGGGGAUAACUACUGGAAACGGUAGCUAAUACCGCAUACCAUCGGAUGUGCCCAGAUGGGAUUAGCUAGUAGGUGGGGUAACGGCUCACCUAGGCGACGAUCGCUAGCUGGUCUGAGAGGAUGACCAGCCACACUGGGACUGAGACACGGUCCAGACGCCUACGGGAGGCAGCAGUGGGGAAUAGUGCACAAUGGGCUAGAGCCUGAUGCAGCCAUGCCGCGUGUAUGUAGAAGGCCUUCGGGUUGUAAAGUACUUUCAGCGGGGAGGCGUUACCCGCAGAAGAAGCGCCGGCUAACUCCGUGCCAGCAGCCGCGGUAAUUC
rnacentral:rRNA from 1 species